AUGGAGGACGAGCAGCUCGACAGCCUGGAGGGCUGGGCGCCGGUCCGGCAAGGCCUCUUCGCCGAUGCCGAGAGGCACCGGCUGCGCUUCCUGGUGGCGUGGAAUGGCGCGGAGGGCAAGUUAGCUGUGACUUGUCACGACCUCACCGCGCAGCAGCCGCAGCGGCGCGAGGGGGCCCGGCUGGGGCUGGAGCCCAAACCCAAGGCCGCUGUGUCCCCGCCCAGCUGCCGUGUCCCCGCCCAGCUGCCGUGUUCCCGCCCAACUGGGCCGGCCGGUUCUCGGCCGCGGGGUUCCGCGGCGCGCGCUGGCAGCUAGCGGCGCUGUGGCCGCCUCUGGAACGCUGCUCCCCGCAGCUGGACGUGGGCGGCGGCGGGGCCUGGAGUCUGGGGCUCGGGCUGUGGGCGCUGCUCUGGCAGGCGCGCGCGGGCCCCGGCGAGGUGGCGCUGCAGGAGCUAUGCGGGCAGCUGGAGCGCUACCUGGGCGCGGCGGCCCACGGCUGCGGCGGCGCCACCGUGCGCCACGCUGUUUUCGCGGCUAAAGGCCGCGCGGCUGACUGCGAGAGCCCGCGCGAGUUUCGAGAGCGGGCCCUGCGCGCCUGAUGGGUCGAGGCGGACGCGCGGCUGCGUCAGGUUAUCCAAGGACAUGGAAAAGCCAACACCAUGGUAGCAUUAAUGAAAGUUUACCAAGAGGAAGAUGAAGCCUACCAGGAAUUAGUUACCAUGGCAACCAUGUUUUUCCAGUACUUACUGCAGCCAUUUAGGGCUAUGCGAGAAGUUGCAACUUUAUGUAAGCUUGAUAUUUUGAAUUCCUUGGAUGAGGAUGACGUAGGUCCUACGUCUCCAGGAUAGUUGCCCUGGAGAAAGAAGCUGAAGAAUGGACCAGACGGGCUGAAGAAGCUGUUGUCUCUAUUCAAGAUAUCACAGUGAAUUAUUUUAAUUAGACAGUAAAAGCAUUAGCAGGAAUGCAAAAAGAAAUGGAACAGGAUGUGAAGAGAUUUGGCCAGGCUGCCUGGGCCACAGCAAUUCCCAGGUUGGAAAAACUUAAGCUAAUGCUAGCUCAAGAGACUCUGCAACUCAUGAGAGCGAAAGAAUUGUAUUUAAAUCGCAAAAGAGCUGAAAUUCAGGGAAAGAUGGAAGAUCUUCCAGAACAAGAAAAAAAUAUAAAUGUUGUAGAUGAAUUAGAAAUGCAAUUUUAUGAAAUUCAGUUAGAACUAUAUGAAGUUAAAUUUGAGAUAUUAAAAAACGAAGAAAUACUGCUUACUACACAGUUGGACUCUCUUAAAAGACUUAUAAAAGAUGAAAUUUAGAAUCAAGUUCAAAACAAAAAACUCUUUGGAAUUUUGAUUGUGAUUUUGCUUAAAAUUAGAGAUUACUUUGGGGAGAAUAGUGGUCUUUGCAAUUUUGAAUCUUCCUACCCAAGAACAUGAAAAACAGGAUGAAGUUGUCUAUUACGAUCCAUGUGAAAGUCCAGAGGAACUUAGUCAUUGACUGUGGUGGGGCUGCAGGACGAUAAGAAUUCGGAAGUGAAAGAACUCAGAAGGCAGUGCCAGCAGCUGGAGUCUGUUAAACGGGGCAGUCUGUGUCAAAAGAGCUUCUCUCCAGAGUAGAAAGGUA
rnacentral:lncRNA from 1 species